ACUAAAUUGUAAUAUUAAAUCUACAUAUACUAAAGUAAAGUUAUCGUAAAUGCACAAAAAUAAAUCCAAACAAAAACUUGAAACUAAAAACCAAAUAGUUAUCAAAUAGCACCUAAAGGAAUACACAUUUUGGAUUUAUUAAAUGGAGUUUUUCAAGACCUUCAACUAAGUGAAACUAAUAUACAAAUACUAAAGAAUAAUAUCGCAUAGCUUUACCUCAAUCUUCUCAAAAUUGAUCAUGACACCCCCUUUUGUACCACAUGGAAUAUCCCUUGCCUACAAUGUUGCUAACAGAAGCUUUCAAAACUAUAAUGAAUGGAAGGACAGAAUCCUCAAUCUUCCAAACAUGGAUUACCAAAGUUACCUGAUCAGUCUGCAGGG
rnacentral:lncRNA from 1 species